UUUUCUAUACAUAUUAAAUUGGCAAUUAUGCUAGAAUGCUUUUACAAACUGCUACCUUUCUAAAUUUGAGCCCAAAAUAUUUGAUUGGUUAUUUUUGAAAUGUUAUAGAGAGUGACUGUUAUUAAUGGUUUAAGUGAAAUUCAUAUUAAUGAUUUCAGUGAUAUGUUGAGUACAUGAUAUUGCUGCUUUCAAAUGUUUAAAGAGAUUUAGAAAUAAUUUAAGUAUGCAAGUGGACUCAUCCGGUUCGCCGGUGAGGUAUAAG
rnacentral:lncRNA from 1 species